rnacentral:rRNA from 1 species
UGCCAGCAGCCGCGGUAAUACGUAGGGUGCGAGCGUUAAUCGGAAUUACUGGGCGUAAAGCGUGCGCAGGCGGCUUUGCAAGACAGAUGUGAAAUCCCCGGGCUCAACCUGGGAACUGCAUUUGUGACUGCAAGGCUAGAGUACGGCAGAGGGGGAUGGAAUUCCGCGUGUAGCAGUGAAAUGCGUAGAUAUGCGGAGGAACACCAAUGGCGAAGGCAAUCCCCUGGGCCUGUACUGACGCUCAUGCACGAAAGCGUGGGGAGCAAACAGGAUUAGAUA